GGACGACGUCCUGAUUGUCUGGAAUGGGUCGGAGGAGGACUUUCGGGACUUCGUCUAAUAUCUCAAUGAGAUGAAUGAGAAUGUUCCUUUAAAGCCACCUAAGAAGAAACCAUAAGGAAUCUCCGGUUACCAACUUACAGAACACUUUUUAUACCUCUCGAUUGACCGCAAAUCCAAUGCUGACUGCCACUGGAGGAAACCUGUGGAAGUAAAUAACUGGAUUUCAGUGUGCACAAAUAAAAGAUACUGAAUGCAGGUUCAGAAGGUACUAGAUGGAAAUCCUACUAAUGGUUGCAGGACAGAAAUUCACAUAGGCAAUGACCCAAGGAAUAAUCACAAUCAUUUAUACCUGUGUACAAAAUUGCAG